CUAAUCUCAAGUACCCAGGGACACAAACACUGCGGAAGGUCGCAGGGUCCUCUGCCUAGGAAAACCAGAGACCUUCGUUCACUUGUUUAUCUGCUGACCUUCCCUCCACUAUUGUCCUGUGACCCUGCCAAAUCCCCCUCUGCGAGAAACACCCAAGAAUGAUCAAUAAAAAAAAAAAAAAAAGAAAAGAAAACACAAAGAAAUGAGAAGGUGUGGAUGGUAAACUGAUGGGAAAAUAUAUACAACUUUUUUUCUGGUAUUUUAUAUUUCUUUAAAAGAUAACUGUAUGAAGGAAAGAAAGUAUAUCUGGAGGUUAUAAAAUAUGUAAAGGUAAAAUAUAUCAUGAUGAUGAUGGCACAAGAAUCAGGAUAAGAAAAACAGAAAUGCAUUAUUGUAAGGUCAUCACUUAAAGACAUACUAUACACCCUAAAGCAACCUCUCCCAAAAGUUGUAGACAAUAAGCUAACAAAGAAGAUACAGUAGAAUCGUUUAAAAAUAUUCAAUCCUAAAGAGGCAAGAGAGAGGAAAAAAGAAAACAAAAAUUGAGACAAAUGGGCCGGGCACGGUGGCUCACAUCUGAAAUCCCAGCACUUUGGGAGGCACGUGGAUCACUUGAGGUCAGGAGUUCAAGACCAGCCUGGCCAACAUGGCGAAACUCCCAUCUCUACUAAAAACACACAAAAAAAUUAGCCAGGCGCAGUGGCUCACACCUGUAAUCCCAGCACUUUGGGAGGCCGACAUGGGUGGAUCACCUGAGAUUAGGAGUUCAAGACCAGCCUGGCCAACAUGGUGAAACCCCAUCUCUACUAAAAAUACAAAAACAAUUAGCUGGGCAUGGUGGCAGGCGCCUGUAAUCCCAGCUACUCAGGAGACUGAGGCAUGAAAAUCAUUUGAACCCAGGAGGCGGAGGUUGCAGUGAGACAACAUUGUACCUCUGCACUCCAGCCUGAGAAACAGAGUGAGACUCUGUCUCAAAAAAACAAAAGUGGUGGCUAUAUUAAUAUCAGACAAGAAAGAUUUCAGAGCAGAGAAUAUUCUGAAGGAUAAAAAAAGAUCAUUUCCUAAUGAUAAAGGCAUCAAAUCAUCAAGAGGACAUAACAAUCUCCUGAGCGUUUCUGUACCUAACAGCAGAGCUUCGAAAUACACGAAGCCAAAACUGACUGAACAGCAAGAAGAAACAGAAAUUCAGUUACAGUGGGAAAUUUCAGUGCCCCUCUCACAAUAAUUGGUAGUACAAAUAGAAAAUUACCAAAGUAGAAAUAAAAAAAUAAACAUCGAAUGGAAAUCAAUGACAUAAAAAACAAAGACAACAGAAAGUCAAUGAAACCAGAAGCUGAUUCUUUGGGAAAAAUCAAUAAAAUUAAUAAGCCUCUAGCCAGACUGUUCUCUUCAACCUGAUAAAGGGCAUCUAAGAAACACCCAUACCUAAUACUGCACUCAAUGGUAAGAGACUAAAAGCUUCCUACCUUAGAUCAGGAACAAAAAAAGAUGUCUGUUCUCACCACAUCUCAAAUACUAAAAAAACCUGUCAAUUGUAUUGAAGACUGUAGCCAGUGCAAUAAAGCAAGAAAACAAAAUAUGGCAUCUGGACUGGAAAAGAAAAAGUAAGAUGAUCUUUAUUUGCAAAUGACAUAAUUGUCUAGGUAAAAAAUCUAACUGGAAUCUACAAAGAGCUAAUAGAAUGAAUAAAUGAGUUUAGCAGGGUUACAAGAUACAAGAUCAAUAUACAAAAAUCAAUUCUACUUCUGUAUACUAGCAAUGAAAAAUCAAAAGUGAACAUAAAAACAAUACCAUUUACAAUAGUAUCAAAAAUAGCGAAGAGUUAAUAGAGGGAAUGACAUCACCAAAUAGAGAAGUAGAAGCAAUCUGGCUUCCCUCACCCUCUCAAAGAAAACCAAAACCAAACAUCCAGUGCCAAGAAUAUCACCAGCAAUAUUCCAGAACUCAAAUCUGAGGAUGAGACCAGAGAAGUGAAAAAAACUCCAGGCAGAAAGUAAGCUGCAAAAAACCUCUAAGCAAACAUCCAAGAAAAAAAAAGCCAGACAGGAAAGCCUGGAUAACAAAUCCUUCAAUGCAAAACCACAGACAUAUGUGCACAAGAAACAACAGCUAACGGAAAACCGCGACCUUCUCAAACAGACAAAGCAAAGAGCCAGUGGCCAACCCUAAUGAGAUGGCAACGUGUAAGCGCUCAAAUCAAGAAUUCAAGGUAACAGUUAAAAAAAAACUCAGCAAACUCCAAUAAAACACAGAAAAACAACUCACAAAUUUG
rnacentral:lncRNA from 1 species